rnacentral:Y_RNA from 1 species
GGCUCGUCCAAAGGUAGUGAGUUAUCUCAGUUGAUUGUUCAUAGCCAGCUACAGAUUGAACUCCUUAUUCUACUAUUUUUCCCUGCUUCUCACUACUGCACUUGACUAGUCUAAA